GGAUGCGAUCAUACCAGCACUAAAGCACCGGAUUCCAUCAAAACUCCGAAGUUAAGCGUGCUUGGGCGAGAGUAGUACUAGGAUGGGUGACCUCCUGGGAAGUCCUCGUGUUGCAUUCC
rnacentral:rRNA from 2 species